AAGUUCAAAGACAUUUUUCAAUUGCGUCGUCUCGUCUCCUAUAUAUUCAUAAUUCACUUUCCUGGAAAAUUAAUAUGAGAAGCUUUCAAGAACAAACAAAAAUGAGAAGCAUGAGACUGUUUUCUUUGCUUGCUUUCCAUGCUCUCAUGCUACUCGAAGCACAUGCUUUUACCGAUACAACUGAUAGGCAAGCGUUGCUCGAGUUCAAGUUUCAAGUUUCUGAAGACAAAAUAGCUUUCAUGUCCUCAUGGAAUCACUCAUUCCCACUCUGCAAGUGGACUGGGGUUACUUGUGGCCGCAAGCACAAGAGAGUUACUAGUUUGGAUCUUGUAGGAUUGCAUUUGGGCGGAGUGAUAUCACCAUCUAUUGGUAAUCUUUCGUUUCUCAUAUAUCUUGAUCUAUCUAAAAAAUCUUUUGGUGGAACCAUCCCUCAAGAGAUUGGAAAUUUGUUUAGACUUGAAUACUUGUACUUGAACUCUAAUAUUCUGGGAGGAGGGAUUCCAAGUAGUCUGGGUAACUGCUCUAGAUUGUCGGAUCUUCAAUUAUUUUCAAAUAAUCUUGGACAAAGUUUUCCUUCAGAACUAGGGUCAUUGACGAAGCUUGUUAGUUUAAGUCUUCGUCAAAACAAUCUAAAAGGGAAGCUUCCUGCAUCUCUAGGAAACUUGACAUCACUCAAGCAAGUUAGCUUUACAUAUAACUAUUUAGAAGGAGAAAUUCCGAAUGAGGUGGCUAAAUUGACUCAAAUAGUGAUUCUUCACUUAGGAGGGAAUAAAUUCUCAGGCGUUUUUCCUCCUGCUAUUUACAAUUUGUCCUCACUUCAUAAUUUAUCUAUUUUUUAUAAUCAUUUCUCGGGUCGCCUGAGACAUGAUUUUGGUAGUCUGUUACCAAAUCUUCUAUCGUUAAAUAUGGGAGGGAAUUAUCUGACAGGAACCAUUCCAACAACGCUUUCUAAUAUCUCGACUCUUGAAAGAUUGGGAAUGAAUGAAAACAAUAUGACAGGAAGUAUUCCUACUUUUGGAAAAAGUAAAAAAUUUGCAAUGGCUAUUACUCCAUACAAAUUCUUUGGGAAGUUACUCUUUCGGAGAUCUUGAAUUCAUCAGCUCUUUGACUAACUGCACCCAACUAGAGUUGUUAAGUAUUGGUCGAAAUAGGUUUGGGGGUGAUUUGCCUAUUUCCAUUGCCAAUUUCUCGGCGAAUCUCGUAACUUUAGAUCUUCAAGAAAACCUUAUUUCUGGAAGAAUUCCUCAUGACAUUGGGAAUCUCAUAAGCCUACAAACACUUAUGUUGGGAGAUAAUAUAUUGACGGGACCACUCCCAACCUCUACCGGCAAUCUUUUUGGACUUGUUAUUUUACAACUCAAUUCAAACCAAAUGUCAGGAGAGAUACUAUCUGCUAUAGGCAACCUCACUCGGCUAGAAGAACCCCAUUUGUACAACAAUAGUUUUGAAGUCUCAGUAAUUGCAGUUACCUCCUCCAAUUACAAAUCGGGUAUAAUAACUUGAAUGGGACUAUACCUCAUGAGAUUAUGAAAAUCCCUACCCUUGUUCAACUAAGUAUGGAAGGUAAUUCUUUGAGCGGCUCUCUGCCAGACGAUGUUGGAAGACUACAAAAUCUUGUUAAACUAUCACUUAAUAACUUAUCAGGACAACUCCCACAAAUUUUGGGAAAAUGUCUCUCGAUGGAAGUUAUGUAUUUACAAGGAAAUUAUUUUUAUGGAGCAAUUCCAGAUAUAAGUGGGUUGAUGGGUGUUAAAAGAAUUGAUUUUUCAAACAAUAAUCACUCUGGAACUAUACCUGGAUAUUUUGCAAACUUUUCCUCGUUGGAGUAUCUCAAUUUAUCCACUAACAAAUUUGAGGGAAAGGUUCCUUUAGACAGAAAAUUUCAGAAUUCUACCGUGAUUUUUCUAUUUGGAAACAAAAAUCUAUGUGGAGGCAUCAAGGAACUAGAAUUAAAGCCAUGCGUUGGGCAGGCAAAAAGCAUCCAUCUCUUUUAAGAUAAGUUGGAUGUUUUUUUAAAAGAGGUGGAUGCUUUUUUUCCAUUGGUGGCCAACGCAUGGAUUAUUGGCCUGCUGGUUCUUCUUUUUUUUUCUAAACCAACAUAGAGAAACUAUGAACAAUAGGAAAAGCAAAGAUAUGCCUAAACCACCUCUUUUAAGAAAGAAGAACCAGCAGGCCAAUAAUCCAGCUCCUUCCACAUUGGAUAUUUUCCAUGAGAAAAUAAGUUAUGGAGAUCUUCGAAAUGCGACUGAUGGCUUCUCCUCAAGCAAUAUAGUUGGGUCAGGCAGUUUUGGUACUGUGUUUAAGGCAUUGCUCUCGACAGAUGUCACGAUUGUUGCAGUGAAAGUUCUUAACAUGGAGAGACAUGGAGCGAUGAAGAGCUUUAUGGCAGAAUGUGAAUCUUUGAAGGACAUAAGGCAUCGUAAUCUUGUGAAACUACUGUCAGCUUGCGCUAGUAUUGAUUUCCAAGGUAAUGAAUUCAGGGCUCUCAUUUAUGAGUUCAUGCCGAAUGGAAGCUUGGAUAUGUGGUUGCACCGAGAGGAAGUAGAAGAGGUUCAUAGCCCCUCAAGAACCUUGACACUUAUUGAAAGGCUCAACAUUGCUGUAGACGUGGCUUCUGUUUUGGACUAUCUUCAUGUUCAUUGUCAUGAGCCUAUAGCACAUUGUGAUCUUAAGCCGAGCAACAUCCUUCUAGAUGAUGAUCUAACUGCCCAUGUUAGUGACUUUGGUCUGGCUCGUCUUCUCCUCAAAUUCGACCAAGAGUCCUUCUUCAACCAACUAAGCUCAGCUGGAGUUAGAGGAACCAUUGGCUAUGCCGCACCAGAAUAUGGAAUGGGAGGGCAGCCGUCAAUACAUGGUGAUGUUUUAUAGCUUUGGGGUUCUCCUUUUGGAAAUGUUCACUGGAAAAAGACCGACCAAUGAGUUAUUUGGGGGAAACUUUACCCUAUACAACUACACCAAGUUGGCGUUGCCAGAAAAAGUAUUGGACAUUGCAGAUAAAUCGAUUCUUCACAGUGGUCUGAGAGUCGGUUUCCCUGUUGUUGAGUGCUUGACAUUGCUUUUCGAGGUGGGACUUAGGUGUUGUGAGGAAUCUCCAAUGAACCGUCUAGCAGCGAGUGAAGCAGCAAAGGAGCUAAUCUCAGUUAGAGAGAGGUUCUUCAAAACCAAAAGAACAACCAGACGUUGAAGUGUUAAUCAUCUACAAAAUUGCCCACCCACUUAAAAAGCCUUAAUCUGAGGCCUAUAUAUAAUAUCAUAUUGUCUUUCAUAGUCUGUGGUUUGUCUAUUUCCUCUGUUUAUGCUCUGUUUUGUUUCCAGACAAGAUUGAAUG